UAGAAAUGUGCCAAAUUACCCAGAAACAAUUUGGAUAGCUGGCAAACAGGGCUGCCUGCUGGUUUGUGAACAGGGUUACAGUUAUGGAAAAGUAGAAGUUUGGAGAGAUCUAGAGUCGGAGUUUGGGCGGCAAGUAAGAUGAAGGAGAAAAAGUUUUCACCUGAUCUGGAUAAUAUCUCAGUGGCUGUUCACAGCUUAACAUCAUCGUAUCCAGUGAGAACACUGCAGUUCAGAGCCCGCGGGUUAUAUAUUCUGAUUUUUCAACAUGUACAACUGGGAAGGAAGAUAUCCCAUUAACAGGGGAAGAGUCUGAGGAAAGACAAGGUGCUUGAGGCUGGAAGGGAUCCUGAGAGGUCAUCACCCUGCCUUAAGGCAGACUGAAUAAUGUCUCCUAAAGGAAAAAGAUGAAGAAUUUAAGUAUUCCACUACUCUUCUGUAGGACCACCCUCUUCGGCCCCCUAUCCCUGCUCCCCAAACCAAACCCACCUUAGUAAGGCUAUGCACACAAGAGCAAAGCUACUUUAAUUUUUUUUUAUUUUAAUUGAGACAUAGCAAGCUUCAGAUGUGAUGAUUAAUUUAAAUACAGAAAAUAAUCCUUAAUAGAAAAAGUCUCAAUAUUGGAAUGUCUAUUAUUACCAUCAACGUUAAAUUCAGUUAUUAUUUUUCAAUCAUAAUGAUUAAUUAGGUUUAAAUAUUUGUGCAUUUCACAUUAGCAGAUAUUGCUCUGAAUAGAGUGUUGCCCCAAAUUUUAUCACUUUAACAAAAAAGGAAACAAGUUGCUUAGCAAUAAGGAAAGACAAAGGCUUAAAAAUGCAUCUCAAAAGAUAUUGUAGUCAACCAUAAGAAGUCAUAGUAAAUGAUGAUAUCUAAAAGAAUGCUUGAAUGUGGAAACUCAAUGAGAAAAGAACUGUUUCCUAUUAGCUUUAACAGCAGGGUUUGUUAUCAUUUAAAUACACGCUCUAAUACACUUAGUGUUUUGUGCUACAUUUAACAAGAUUAAGUGAACACACACUGUUUCAACUCAAAUCUUUAUCGGAAAUCAGAGGCAAGCCUCAUUUCUUGCCAAAACAUUCUCUUGUGGCUCAUUCUUGGAGCAAAUUCCAUAUAAGUAAAUCUGUUUACCCAGGUGGACCACUGAUCAAUUAAAGAAUUUUCUUUUCAGGUAAUUCUGCUUUACUGAACUUUGAAAACUUUAUCUGAAAAUUCUAAAAAGUAGAUGCAUCUGAUAUGCUAUAAAGACUAUAAUUUGUAAUAAAAUGAAAAUGGCAUUCAAAUAGAGCAAAGAAUUAAAAUUAGGAUAAACUCUCAAAGUUCUUACAUGAUCUCACUAUAAUGCUACAAAUAAUUAGAUUCUGAGGAAAAGUAGUAGAUACUAGAUAGCUUACCCAAAAGAACAAAGUGUCUCAUUGUCUCAUGUGUUAAUUUCCCCCUUGAUGGAAAAAGUUUGAACUGCCUGAAGUGAGCUUCCAGGAACAUACAAAAGAGGCGCCCACAUCUCAACUUUCAGAUAAUCUUACUGAAAAUUUUAGCCUAUCAUAUCAUCCUAGACACCAGAUUCCCUUUUAAAGUACAAUACAUCUCUCAUUUCUUGCAUUUUAUAUUAUCUUAUAAGGUAUUUCUCCUUUCAUUUAUAUCAUGCAAGUAUACAUAUUUUGAAUCUAGUUCACUAUACAUCUAUAUUUUAUAAAAUAUUUUUUAUGUUCUACCUCA